UACGUAGGGGGCUAGCGUUGUCCGGAAUCAUUGGGCGUAAAGAGCGUGUAGGCGGCCCGGUAAGUCCGCUGUGAAAGUCGGGGGGCUCAACCCUCGAAUGCCGGUGGAUACUGUCGGGCUAGAGUCCGGAAGAGGCGAGUGGAAUUCCUGGUGUAGCGGUGGAAUGCGCAGAUAUCAGGAGGAACACCAAUAGCGAAGGCAGCUCGCUGGGACGGUACUGACGCUAAGGCGCGAAAAGCGUGGGGAGCGAACAGG
rnacentral:rRNA from 1 species